rnacentral:rRNA from 1 species
UACGUAGGGGGCAAGCGUUGUCCGGAAUCACUGGGCGUAAAGCGCACGUAGGCGGACUCUUAAGUCGGUGGUGAAAUCCUGGAGCUCAACUCCAGAACUGCCUUCGAUACUGGGAGUCUUGAGUCCGGGAGAGGUGAGUGGAACUGCGAGUGUAGAGGUGAAAUUCGUAGAUAUUCGCAAGAACACCAGUGGCGAAGGCGGCUCACUGGCCCGGUACUGACGCUGAGGUGCGAAAGCGUGGGGAGCAAACAGG